rnacentral:lncRNA from 1 species
GAGAAGCUGCGAAGAUGGCGGAGUAAGGCGUGCCGCUGCAAACUGGCCUCUGGGCCGGGGGCGAGCAGCCCCCGGGAGGCCGAGUGCAUCUGUUGGACCGUGCGAGGAGAAGAAAAAAAAUAUCGGCCAGAGGAGAGGAACUAACCGAACAUUCUUCCUCCCUACCUUAUAGAGGGGAGUGGUCAUCUACACUAAAGCAAAGUGUUAGGCGCGUCCGUGCGAAGAGACCACCAAACAGGCUUUGUGUUCCUUAUCACAGGAAGAAAAUUUUCCUUGACCUUUAGGUGCUUUUAUAUUCAUCUCAAAAACAAAAUUCUGAACUCAGGACUUGGCAACCCUAGUAACCUCUCUACUCUAAAUCUCUAUGAAUUUGACUGUUGUAUCUGAUGUGUCUCUAUGUUGUCUCCUAGAGUGGGUAGUCCUGCUUCUUUUACCCAGUUACUUUCCCGUUUUUGAAAUGUGGCUAUCACUUCUCUACACAUUACCUCCAUGAUUUGGAAUGGAAAAGGCCACUUUUCUUUUUGUUCUGCCUCUCAAAUUCAACACAGAGGAGCUCCUAGGAUUCCAGUUAUCCUGCUAACAUCUCCAGGAAGAAAGAAGCAACUCACAUGGGUCUUUUGCUGUUUGCUUAAUUAUAAAGACAUCAUUUUGCAAGCAGAAGGCUGAGUUUCAUUUGAAACAGGUGCUUAGGUGGUGGUAUUUGUGAAUACUUUUCAUUCCAAGCAAGAAGACUAAAGAAGUAGCAAGUAUGAAUGACUUCAGGGUUUAAAAAAAAUGUCUUCCAGUUUCAGCCACUACCAUGAUAAGCACAGUUGAGACUGCAGCAGUAAAUUCCAAAUAUGUGUUUCUAAUUUGACGUGAAAGAUACUAAAAAUUUAUAUUUGUAUAUUUAAAUCCUGGCUCAUCCUGUGACAUAGAUUUACUGAAUAGGAACAAAGGCCCAAUUUUAAACAAAAACCUAGGCCGGGUGUGGUGGCUCACACCUGUAAUCCCAACACUUUGGGAGGCCAAGGCAGGCAAAUCACCUGAGGUUGGGAGUUUGAGACCAGCCUGACCAACAUGGAGAAACCCCAUCUCUACUAAAAAUAGAAAAUUAGCCAGGUGUGGUGGUAGAUACGUGUAAUCCCAGCUACUCGUGAGGCUGAGGCAGGAGAAUUGCUUGAAUCCGGGAGGCGGAGGUUGCAGUGAACUGAGAUUGCACCACUGCACUCCAGCCUGGGCGACAGAGUGAGACUCCGUCUCAGAAAAAUAAAAAACAACUUUGGACAUAGAGGAGUUGGGGGCAGAGGGGGGAGGAUGAGAGAAUUUUCCAUGUAACUCCUUUUCCUUAAGAAAAAGAAGCAAAAAUCCCUCAUGCAGUGCCAUCUGACUUUAUGGUGUUUCACAUUAUAUAGUUACUUUUUUUAAUAAACGCAUAAGAUUAACUCUUCCU